rnacentral:rRNA from 1 species
AACAGAUGGGAGCUUGCUCCCUGAUGUUAGCGGCGGACGGGUGAGUAACACGUGGGUAACCUGCCUGUAAGACUGGGAUAACUCCGGGAAACCGGGGCUAAUACCGGAUGCUUGUUUGAACCGCAUGGUUCAGACAUAAAAGGUGGCUUCGGCUACCACUUACAGAUGGACCCGCGGCGCAUUAGCUAGUUGGUGAGGUAACGGCUCACCAAGGCGACGAUGCGUAGCCGACCUGAGAGGGUGAUCGGCCACACUGGGACUGAGACACGGCCCAGACUCCUACGGGAGGCAGCAGUAGGGAAUCUUCCGCAAUGGACGAAAGUCUGACGGAGCAACGCCGCGUGAGUGAUGAAGGUUUUCGGAUCGUAAAGCUCUGUUGUUAGGGAAGAACAAGUGCCGUUCAAAUAGGGCGGCACCUUGACGGUACCUAACCAGAAAGCCACGGCUAACUACGUGCCAGCAGCCGCGGUAAUACGUAGGUGGCAAGCGUUGUCCGGAAUUAUUGGGCGUAAAGGGCUCGCAGGCGGUUUCUUAAGUCUGAUGUGAAAGCCCCCGGCUCAACCGGGGAGGGUCAUUGGAAACUGGGGAACUUGAGUGCAGAAGAGGAGAGUGGAAUUCCACGUGUAGCGGUGAAAUGCGUAGAGAUGUGGAGGAACACCAGUGGCGAAGGCGACUCUCUGGUCUGUAACUGACGCUGAGGAGCGAAAGCGUGGGGAGCGAACAGGAUUAGAUACCCUGGUAGUCCACGCCGUAAACGAUGAGUGCUAAGUGUUAGGGGGUUUCCGCCCCUUAGUGCUGCAGCUAACGCAUUAAGCACUCCGCCUGGGGAGUACGGUCGCAAGACUGAAACUCAAAGGAAUUGACGGGGGCCCGCACAAGCGGUGGAGCAUGUGGUUUAAUUCGAAGCAACGCGAAGAACCUUACCAGGUCUUGACAUCCUCUGACAAUCCUAGAGAUAGGACGUCCCCUUCGGGGGCAGAGUGACAGGUGGUGCAUGGUUGUCGUCAGCUCGUGUCGUGAGAUGUUGGGUUAAGUCCCGCAACGAGCGCAACCCUUGAUCUUAGUUGCCAGCAUUCAGUUGGGCACUCUAAGGUGACUGCCGGUGACAAACCGGAGGAAGGUGGGGAUGACGUCAAAUCAUCAUGCCCCUUAUGACCUGGGCUACACACGUGCUACAAUGGGCAGAACAAAGGGCAGCGAAACCGCGAGGUUAAGCCAAUCCCACAAAUCUGUUCUCAGUUCGGAUCGCAGUCUGCAACUCGACUGCGUGAAG